rnacentral:sRNA from 1 species
UUACGUCCAGGGCUACACACGUGCUACAAUGGGCCGUACAAAGGGUUGCGAAGCCGCGAGGUGGAGCCAAUCCCAAAAAGCGGUCCUCAGUUCGGAUUGCAGUCUGCAACUCGACUGCAUGAAGCCGGAAUCGCUAGUAAUCGUGGAUCAGCUACGCCACGGUGAAUACGUUCCCGGGCCUUGUACACACCGCCCGUCACGCCAUGGAAGCUGUGAGCGCCCGAAGCCCGUGUCGCAACCCUCACGGGAGCAAGCGGUCGAAGGCGAGCGCAGUGACUGGGGCGAAGUCGUAACAAGGUAGCCGUAGGGGAACCUGCGGCUGGAUCACCUCCUUUCCGGAGCGACGAGUAGAGUAGCGCCUCGUGCGAUGCACGAGCGCGAUCCACGUGAAAGUCCUCACGGUUUGUCGCCCGUCUCGACAACCGAUCUCUCGACAUCGAUUGCAGUCUUGCGGCGAGUCGCGCUCCACUGGAGCUCGGCUCGCGACGCAUCGCUGUUUGACAAUGGAUGGUUGGUGUAGAUCGUGGGAAAUGAAUCGUCACGAGACCGAUGGAGACCGAGCGCUCGAGUAGGUGGAGCGACGAUCCAACGAAACUCGAUGCGAUGCGCGUGCUGGCUUGGCUAGAUGAUCAUGUAGUCAUUCAAGGGAAGGCAUGUGGGGGAUACCUAGGCACACAGACAAUAGGG